UACGUAGGGUGCAAGCGUUAAUCGGAAUUACUGGGCGUAAAGCGUGCGCAGGCGGUUGUGCAAGACCGAUGUGAAAUCCCCGGGCUUAACCUGGGAAUGGCAUUGGUGACUGCACGGCUAGAGUGUGUCAGAGGGGGGUAGAAUUCCACGUGUAGCAGUGAAAUGCGUAGAGAUGUGGAGGAAUACCGAUGGCGAAGGCAGCCCCCUGGGAUAACACUGACGCUCAUGCGCGACAGCGUGGGGAGCAAACAGG
rnacentral:rRNA from 1 species